AGUGAACGCUGGCGGUAGGCCUAACACAUGCAAGUCGAACGGCAGCACAGUAAGAGCUUGCUCUUACGGGUGGCGAGUGGCGGACGGGUGAGGAAUACAUCGGAAUCUACUUUUUCGUGGGGGAUAACGUAGGGAAACUUACGCUAAUACCGCAUACGACCUACGGGUGAAAGCAGGGGAUCUUCGGACCUUGCGCGAUUGAAUGAGCCGAUGUCGGAUUAGCUAGUUGGCGGGGUAAAGGCCCACCAAGUCGACGAUCCGUAGCUGGUCUGAGAGGAUGAUCAGCCACACUGGAACUGAGACACGGUCCAGACUCCUACGGGAGGCAGCAGUGGGGAAUAGUGGACAAUGGGCGCAAGCCUGAUCCAGCCAUACCGCGUGGGUGAAGAAGGCCUUCGGGUUGUAAAGCCCUUUUGUUGGGAAAGAAAAGCAGCAGGUUAAUACCCCGCUGUUCUGACGGUACCCAAAGAAUAAGCACCGGCUAACUUCGUG
rnacentral:rRNA from 1 species